GAUCUUGACAUUUAUUAAAGAGAACUGAGGAACAGAGGCAGGAACAGAGGGGGGAACAUAGGUGGGAACAGAGGGGGAACAGAGGCAGGAACAGAGGGGGGAACAGAGGGAGGAACAGAGGCAGGAGCAGAGGGAGGAACAUAGGCAGGAACAGAGGGAGGAACAGAGGGGGGAACAGAGGGGGGAACAGAGGCAGGAGCAGAGGCAGGAGCAGAGGGGGGAACAGAGGGGGGAACAUAGGGAGGAACAGAGGGGGGACAGAGGGAGGAACAGAGGCAGGAACAGAGGGAGGAACAGAGGCAGGAACAGAGGGAGGAACAGAGGGGGGAACAGAGGGAGGAACAGAGGGGGAACAGAGGCAGGAACAGAGGGGGAACAGAGGGAGGAAAAGAGGCAGGAACAGAGGGAGGAACAGAGGGGGAACAGAGGCAGGAACAGAGGGAGGAACAGAGGCAGGAACAGAGGCAGGAACAGAGGGAGGAAAAGAGGCAGGAACAGAGGGGGAACAGAGGGAGGAACAGAGGGAGGAACAGAGGCAGGAACAGAGGCAGGAACAGAGGGAGGAAAAGAGGCAGGAACAGAG
ensembl:lncRNA